AAAAAAGGUAAGCUACUAAGAGCGAAUGGUGGAUGCCUUGACUGGUAAAGGCGAUGAAGGACGUACUAGACUGCGAUAAGCUACGGGGAGCUGUCAAGAAGCUUUGAUCCGUAGAUUUCCGAAUGGGGCAACCCAAUGUAUAGAGAUAUACAUUACCUAUAUAGGAGCGAACGAGGGGAAUUGAAACAUCUUAGUACCCUCAGGAAAAGAAAUCAAUAGAGAUUGCGUCAGUAGCGGCGAGCGAAAGCGCAAGAGGGCAAACCCAGUGCUUGCACUGGGGGUUGUAGGACUGCAAUGUGCAAGAGCUGAGUUUAGCAGAACAUUCUGGAAAGUAUAGCCAUAGAGGGUGAUAGUCCCGUAUGCGAAAAACAAAGCUUAGCUAGCAGUAUCCUGAGUAGGGCGGGACACGAGGAAUCCUGUCUGAAUCCGGGUCGACCACGAUCCAACCCUAAAUACUAAUACCAGAUCGAUAGUGCACAAGUACCGUGAGGGAAAGGUGAAAAGAACUGAGGUGAUCAGAGUGAAAUAGAACCUGAAACCAUUUGCUUACAAUCAUUCAGAGCACUAUGUAGCAAUACAGUGUGAUGGACUGCCUUUUGCAUAAUGAGCCUGCGAGUUGUGGUGUCUGGCAAGGUUAAGCAAACGCGAAGCCGUAGCGAAAGCGAGUCUGAAUAGGGCGCUUAGUCAGAUGCUGCAGACCCGAAACGAAGUGAUCUAUCCAUGAGCAAGUUGAAGCUAGUGUAAGAACUAGUGGAGGACUGAACCCAUAGGCGUUGAAAAGCCCCGGGAUGACUUGUGGAUAGGGGUGAAAGGCCAAUCAAACUUCGUGAUAGCUGGUUCUCUCCGAAAUAUAUUUAGGUAUAGCGUUGUGUCGUAAUAUAAGGGGGUAGAGCACUGAAUGGGCUAGGGCAUACACCAAUGUACCAAACCCUAUCAAACUCCGAAUACCUUAUAUGUAAUCACAGCAGUCAGGCGGCGAGUGAUAAAAUCCGUCGUCAAGAGGGAAACAACCCAG
rnacentral:rRNA from 1 species